rnacentral:rRNA from 1 species
UACGUAGGGUGCAAGCGUUGUCCGGAAUUAUUGGGCGUAAAGAGCUCGUAGGCGGUCUGUCGCGUCGGAUGUGAAAACCCAGGGCUCCAACCCUGGGCCUGCAUUCGAUACGGGCAGACUAGAGUUCGGUAGGGGAGACUGGAAUUCCUGGUGUAGCGGUGAAAUGCGCAGAUAUCAGGAGGAAUACCGAUGGCGAAGGCAGGUCUCUGGGCUGAUACUGACGCUCAUGCACGAAAGCGUGGGGAGCAAACAGG